rnacentral:rRNA from 1 species
GACAGAGGGUGCAAGCGUUGUUCGGAAUCAUUGGGCGUAAAGCGCGCGUAGGCGGUGGUGUGUGUCGGGUGUGAAAGCCCAGGGCUCAACCCUGGAAGUACAUUCGAAACUGUACCACUAGAGUCCCGGAGAGGGUGGUAGAAUUCCUGGUGUAGAGGUGAAAUUCGUAGAUAUCAGGAGGAAUACCGGUGGCGAAGGCGACCACCUGGACGGUGACUGACGCUGAGGUGCGAAAGCGUGGGGAUCAAACAGG